rnacentral:rRNA from 1 species
CCCCCCCGUUAUAUAUUCCCCACCCAAAGAGUCGAGUUGUUUGGGAAUGCAGCUCUAAGUGGGUGGUAAACUCCAUCUAAAGCUAAAUAUUGGCGAGAGACCGAUAGCGAACAAGUACAGUGAUGGAAAGAUGAAAAGCACUUUGAAAAGAGAGUGAAAAAGUACGUGAAAUUGUUGAAAGGGAAGGGCUUGCAAGUAGACCUUUUUUGGGCGGGCAUCGGGGGAGAGGGAACCAAAAUCAGCCCCGGGAAUGUAACUUUCGAGUAUUAUAUCCCGGCUAGAUGGUUCCUCCCUCCCCCGAGGACGGCAUCAAUACGG